UGACUCCGGCAUCGUUCGCUGCAACGCAAAAAUCAUGAUUGACUUUCACGUUACGUACGACUGACCGGUUCAUCAGUCGACCUCGAUAUGCAACUGAUCGCUAAACAAUGGUCGAACUCGUUUUCGUUUGUAUCGCGACUUGAAUCGAAGGACCUGUUAUUUGUGAAGAGAAAAAUUGACGAUGAUACUGCACGUAGAUAUCAUCAAAGUCUAGUAUGACGAAACUAUAUCGAGUUGCUGUCGCGGAUUAUACAACAUAAAAAGAACAGACAUUAUUCGCUGAAUAUUUCUCAUCAUGAUGAAAGUGGGUCACAAAAUAAAGGUAAAACAUUAGUAAAACUUCAUUCACUAGUGAAACUUAAGAAUAUUCUUUAAAAACAAUUUAAUUAAUUAUUUAUCUUCUUUCAUUGUAUGAAUAAAGAUAACUAAUAUGUGCUUUUUCUGUGUCUUGUUAUAUGUAUUGUCUUGAAUCUACUAAUUUUGGGCAAUAUUAAUUAAUUGUAUUAUUUCAUGAAUUCAAAUAAAAAUAUUUUAUAGAUAUUUCAAAAUG